GUUGGAGUUUAUUGUGAAUUUAAAAAUCAUUAUGAAUGCAUGCAUUUUUCAUGGUCAAAUAUAGACUUCUGAUUUGCCUCUCAUAAACACUUCCGUAUAUAGCCAAAACCUAGAAGAUAGUUCUUUUAAUUUAUAAUCUCCCCUUUCCUCUCAUCAUGCAAGAUGGGCGCCAAACAUCUUCAACAGCUCUGAGAAUUCCUUUCUCUUAUUUUAGGGGGCGGAGAUCCAUGAAAGGACACCAGCAUAGUGGGAUAUAUUUAGCAAGAAUUUUCCUUCUGUGUCCACAGUUUCACAUCUUAAGUAUCUUGCAGUUGAGGUUCUGUUCCUUUUUCUUGGAAUAGGCUCUGGUUUUGGCUAAGACUUAUCUGUUGCUUGUUCA
rnacentral:lncRNA from 1 species